rnacentral:lncRNA from 1 species
UAGGAGAGAAGGGUCAGGAGAGAGGGGUCACAGAAGCCAGGAAGAACUAGGGUUUCAGGAGAGGAUGAAUAUUCAACAGUUGCAACUGCCAUAGAGAUGAAGCAAGAUAAGCACAACAAAUGUGUCAUUGGGCCUGGUAAUAUUGAGGGCAAUGAAGUUAUUAGUGAAAGUAGAUGCAGUGAAGUGUUGGAAUCAGAAGCCAGAAUGGAGUUGGGGGAAGAAUAAAUAGGAUGUAAGGAAAUAGAAACAGUAACUGUGAAGUCUUCUUUCAAGAAGUUUUAAGACUUUUACCUAACAAGGAAGCAAUAAAUGGUAGCUAGAGGAGGGUGUAUAUUCAAGAAUGACAUUGUUUUAAGAUGAGAAAGGUUUGAGCUCUAGUGACUGAAUUGUUCCAGGAUAAAGUAAAAUAAACAAGAGAAUAAUUUUAAAAAUCAAAUAGAGUAAUAACAACUAAGUCACCGAAAAGAUGGGCCAUGGAGUCUAAACUACAUAGAGAAGAAGGUAAAGGUCAGAUUGGCGAUAGAAAUUGUUCAGAAGAAGCAUAAAGGGAAGAGAGUAAAAGGAAUAAGAGAAAAGCAUAGCAGAUUUGAAUCAGACACUGAGAUGUUUAUGUUUAAGUUUCUACAGUGAAUCUGAGUAAGGAACUAAAGAAGAGUGAUGUAUUAACCAAACAUGUUUUUGGUACAAGUCAGCUCAAUGAUAGGUGUGAGAAAUAUCUAGAACAUAAUCUUGGAAAUAUGCUUCUGAAAUGCAGCAGAGGUGAAAGAAGCUGGGACUAAGAAGAGCAAGGAACUGAAGGGCUACCAGUUGGACUACUCAGCAAGAUCAAAAUGACUUUCUUCACAG